UGUAAGCGUAUACCAAAGUUGUUGCAGUUAAAACGCUCGUAGUCGGAAUUUGGCAGUUCCGGAUGUGUGCACGUCGUGUGCGCACUUCGCGGGGAUUGCUUUUGUGGUCUUGCGUAGGAUGAGGCACUUUUAUUAGUGAACGUCCUCACGCAACCACUUUUUACUGUGAGAAAAUCAGAGUGCUCAAAGCAGGCAUUUGCCGUGUAUGUAUUAGCAUGGAAUAAUAGAAUAGGACUUGGUUCUAUUUUGUUGGUUUGUUGGGACUGAGUAAUGAUUAAGAGGGACAGUUGGGGGCAUUUGUAUUUCGGUGCUAGAGGUGAAAUUCUUAGAUUACCGAAAGACAAACUGCUGCGAAAGCGUCUGCCAAGGAUGUUUUCAUUGA
rnacentral:rRNA from 1 species